GGCUUAACACAUGCAAGUCGAGCGAUCCCUUCGGGGAUAGCGGCGGACGGGUGAGUAACGCGUGGGAACGUGCCCUUCACUACGGAAUAGCCCAUGGAAACGUGGAUUAAUACCGUAUACGCCCUUCGGGGGAAAGAAUUUCGGUGAGGGAUCGGCCCGCGUCUGAUUAGGUAGUUGGUGGGGUAAUGGCCUACCAAGCCGACGAUCAGUAGCUGGCUUUAGAGGAUGAUCAGCCACACUGGGACUGAGACACGGCCCAGACUCCUACGGGAGGCAGCAGUGGGGAAUCUUAGACAAUGGGGGCAACCCUGAUCUAGCCAUGCCGCGUGAGUGAUGAAGGUCUUAGGAUCGUAAAGCUCUUUCGCCUGUGAUGAUAAUGACAGUAGCAGGUAAAGAAACCCCGGCUAACUCCGUGCCAGCAGCCGCGGUAAUACGGAGGGGGUUAGCGUUGUUCGGAAUUACUGGGCGUAAAGCGCGCGUAGGCGGACUGGAAAGUUGGGGGUGAAAUCCCGGGGCUCAACCCCGGAACUGCCUUCAAAACUAUCAGUCUAGAGUUCAGAGAGGUGAGUUGGAAUUGCCAGUGUAAGGUGAAAUUCGUAGAUAUUCGCAGGAACACCAUUGGCGAAGGCGGCUCACUGGCUC
rnacentral:rRNA from 1 species